GAAAACAUAAUAAUGGCCACAUAAAUUUGAUAAUAAAUAAAAAUAAAAAGCUGAAAUGUAUCCUGGCCCCCUACAAGCUACAUAUGAAUGGAGAAAUAACAAGGAACAUGUUGAAUGCUUAUGAAUAAUUUCAAAUAAUUCAAUCAAAUAAUGAAAAUGCUAACCAUUGUUUAUAUUGCAAUUAGAAUAAAGAACAAUUCUUUUUAA